GCCGGGGUGGCAGAGUGGCAAUGCGCUGGACUCGAGAUCCAGUGGGUCUUCGGGCUCACAGGGGUUCAAAUCCCUUCCCCGGCGCCA
rnacentral:tRNA from 1 species